CACUUUGAUACGUUAAAGAUAUAUGGCUUCUACUUUCACUUUCUGACUAAUUUUCAGAUCCACCCCGUUUCUUCGAGAACUUCCAUGUUCAGCCUCCACCACCAGCUUUAAUUUGAGCCCUAAUUCUACCUUUAGUUUCUAAUAGAGCGUGCUAAUUGUGGAAUACACCAUAAACUUUGGCUACUUCAGUUCUUCCUUGUAAGCAAAAUUUUAAUUAUUCAUUUUUCACUGUCACUCUAUUUCUCAGUUUCAUUUCUGUUGCUUCAGCUUUCUUAUUUCUGGUUUUGCAAGGUGGCUCCUAACCCAGCAGAGAAUGGGAUACGUUAUCCUCAAAUAAUUUCUUGGUGCCGACAUGAAAUUUCACAUAUGUUUCUACUGACAAAAUUAUGAAGUCCCGGUGAAUUCUAUUGUUACUCAGAUAGAAGAAUUGAAUAAUCUAAUGAUAGCUCGAAAGAGUUGGAAGUAGAAAAUCUCAAACAGUUCACCAUUCAACAUGGGUGAAAUAAUAGCUAAAGCCAGCAUUACUGUCAAAGAAGCGACUUGGAGGUGACUGAAAGGAAGCUCUACAUAAUUAGAGGCAUUGGGCGAUUCUUCAUAGCCAUGGAUUAAGAAGACCAGUGACACGUUCUGCAUCAUUCGUGAAUAGUGUGAUGAAUUCACAUCUUCUUGGGUGUUAUUUCUGCCGAACAACAUGCUUUUGGUCUACUAUCUUCUUAGAGAAAGAGGGUUGGCUUUCACCAAGUCAUGACUGCAUGCCAUUCAACAUAAGUAUUUUGAUUAGUCUAUCACUGUGUGUAUACUUUUGACACUUCUGAGCUAACUAUGGACUUUGUUCUUGUGUAGAGCAUAAUGAUGUGCGCAUGAAUCAAUAUACUACUAUUUUAGAGUAUAAUUAUUAACUUACCUAGAGGAAAAUUAGUUCAAAUAUUUUGUAGUGUAAAUACCAUGUGGAUUGAUUGGCAUAUACAUGCUUUCAGGAAAAAAAAUAAUAAGGGAAACUACUUGAAAUUAUGUACUUGACGUCUUUCAUAUGCAUCUACAUGUUGACUUUAUGUGUUUAUGUACAUCUUAAUCGGGUUUUUGCUAGAUUAGAUAUACUAUAAGCCGAUGUCCUGUACGACCCUUCUGGUCGCUAUGGAAAAUAUAGGAUCACCCCACCAAAUAGAACCUUCCCAAGGGUAGAAGGAGCUAAUAGAAACUUGAUUGUAUAAGUCUGAGAACUGAAAAACUUGACUUCUUGUGAUUAUUUCUCGAUUUUGUUGAGUCCAUGGGGGUGGGGGGGGGGGUGACGUAGGAAAUUAGAACUCCGUCGGGAAUUACGAGGCCACGGGUGAGUCCGUAUGGUAUUUUUAUAUCUAUGUACAUGUUAUGUUUGUGUUUGUGAGGCCUCGGAUGAAAUGUUGGGUGGUAGAGUUGAAAAAGGCGGGAAAAUUGUGAGCUUACUGUUUCAGUGGUACCACUGCGGCGAGGGAGGUAUCGCUAUGGCGGGACCGCUACAGCGGUGAUCCUCUUACCACUGCGGAAAAGUGGGAAAUGGGGUGUCCGCUAUGGCGGACACUGGACCGCCGUAGCGGGAACGCUGCAGCGGGUCCAGGCUCGCCAUAGCGGAGGACAGGUUUGGCGUGGUCCGCUAUAGUGGGCACUUGGCCGCUAUAGCGAGACCAUCGCAGCGGCGAUUUGACUGCCGCAGCGGUCGACGAAGACAGAAUGUCGGCUUUUAAACACUUAGUUUCGAAUUCUUUAUUCAUAAAACUCCAAAACAGUUCCCCACAAGCACCUAAGGCAAAAUUCCAAGCUAGGGAAAGAAUAUCCUUGAGAGGUAAGUCUCAACCAUUCCUUCCAUCAUUACACUUUCAUCUUCAUGAUUAUCAUCCCUUUUAUGGGUCUACAAUGGUGAAUUGGUAAUAGCAACCCUAGAACUUAAUAGACUUGCAAUAAUCGAUGGGUUAUGAUUGUUAUUGUGUAUUUAUCAUCUAAUGGCUUGGGGUAUCACCUUGUUAAUCAAAAAUUAAACCAUUAGAGGCAUGAACUAAGUGAAUUGAGACUUAAGAUUUCAUAAAAAUGAUAGCUUGACCAUAGAAACGGCUUGUAAUAGAUGUUUUGAUUAAAUGACCUUGUAGAUUGAUAGUUGGUGGUUGCUAAGGCUAAUGUUAGACUGAAUUACACCUAGAAAUCAUUCGCCCAUUGGAAUGGGGCUAAAAGGAAGGGUGUUCUUUGAAUUGAUUUUGUGACUAGAGUACUUAUGACUCAUUUAGCAUCUUAAUUGCUAGACUUUGAGCGUUCCGAAGCUUUACGGAAGGGAAAGGCUAUAGCAGAGUAGUCUGCAUUGUUCCAGCUCUACAUUCGAGGUAGGUUACGAUUUACUUGAGUUAGACUUUGAUUAGUUGAUUGUAUGUGUUGUGAAAUUGAUAGGAGAAAGCAUGUUUAGUCUUCAAACAUGAUGUGUAUGGUUGAAAUUCCUAUAUGCUAUUGAUUGAGUGAUUAUGUGGGCUUCGUGCCACUAUUCAUUGUGUUGGAACCUACAGGUUGAUGAUGUUGUGGGGAGAAGUUAAUAUGAUCUUCUUGGUGA